CUGCGGAGGGAUCAUUACUGAGUUUACGCUCUACAACCCUUUGUGAACAUACCUAUAACUGUUGCUUCGGCGGGUAGGGUCUCCGCGACCCUCCCGGCCUCCCGCCUCCGGGCGGGUCGGCGCCCGCCGGAGGAUAACCAAACUCUGAUUUAACGACGUUUCUUCUGAGUGGUACAAGCAAAUAAUCAAAACUUUUAACAACGGAUCUCUUGGUUCUGGCAUCGAUGAAGAACGCAGCGAAAUGCGAUAAGUAAUGUGAAUUGCAGAAUUCAGUGAAUCAUCGAAUCUUUGAACGCACAUUGCGCCCGCCAGCAUUCUGGCGGGCAUGCCUGUUCGAGCGUCAUUUCAACCCUCAAGCUCUGCUUGGUGUUGGGGCCCUACAGCUGAUGUAGGCCCUCAAAGGUAGUGGCGGACCCUCUCGGAGCCUCCUUUGCGUAGUAACUUUACGUCUCGCACUGGGAUCCGGAGGGACUCUUGCCGUAAAACCCCCAAUUUCCAAAGGUGACCUCGAUCAGUAG
rnacentral:rRNA from 1 species